rnacentral:rRNA from 1 species
AUACGGAGGGGGCUAGCGUUGUUCGGAAUUACUGGGCGUAAAGCGCGCGUAGGCGGAUCGUUAAGUCAGGGGUGAAAGCCCGGAGCUCAACUCCGGAACUGCCCUUGAUACUGGUGAUCUCGAGUCCGGGAGAGGUGAGCGGAAUUCCUAGUGUAGAGGUGAAAUUCGUAGAUAUUAGGAGGAACACCAGUGGCGAAGGCGGCUCACUGGCCCGGUACUGACGCUGAGGUGCGAAAGCGUGGGGAGCAAACAGGAUUAGAAACCCCAGUAGUCC